AGCACUGGAAGGAACAACAGUUCAGUGUCUACCUCUCCCCACUCUUUGCACAGAUGGGAAGAAGUUGGCCCAGUGAGGGAUGUCUCUGCAGAGACAAGAUGAGUAAUAUUAAGUGGUGUUUGUCUUGUGCCUUGUAGCUUUCAAAACAUUUCCUCAAACAUUAUCUCCCUUAAGCCUUGAAAUCAUCUCAAGCAGUAUGUAGAACACACAUUUUCACAGAGGAGGACGCUGAAGCUGAGAGAAAUAAUGUGUCUCAGUGGAAACAACUAGUCAGAGGUAGGCCAGGACUUGACCCCAAGAGUUCUGGUGCCAAAUCCCUGGCUCAGUGGAGCCUUCAAGCCUCUCCAGACUCCAAGACGACCAGGCUUCUGGGUUCCAAACCUGAUUAGUUGGCUUCCUGGGCUUCCAACAUUGAUUCUGUAAUUCACAAGAGCCCAGGUGUGACUCAUUGACCGAGGUCUCAGCAGCAUGCUGACGUCUGGCUGGUUUCCCUUCUGUGACCCACUGCAGGUUCCAAGAUUGAUGGCAGUACUGCAAGACAAGAGGAACCUGCGACCUGAAGGCCCUUGACUGCUUGGAUCAGGAAUAAGCCCUCAACUCCACUGGCUCUCAUCAAACCACGCCGCGAGCAAGGAAUAAACUUUUACUGCAUGAAGGGGAUGCGACAUCUAGGUCGACUUAGUACACCAUCACCCACCCUACUCUAACACACACAGAAAUGGGUUCUUUGAAAUGGAGUGAUGCUGUAUCAGACAGGCCUUAGUUCUACAGAAUCCAGCUGCUGUGAGGUCCCUGGUGAAGCUGGUGGAAGAGAACCUUCUGUAUGUACCUGGGGAGUGGGCUUAAAAGAAUCCUGUCAACAACCCGCACAUCAACAUGUUUUGGAUGAUGCUACCUGCUCAGCAGGCAUAGUGAAGUGGAGUGCCUUUAAGAUCACUUUUCACUGGGGGAUGGUUUUGUUGAUGACACAACAUUACUAAUCAAGCAAAUGGGAACCAAGGUACAAUAUUAUUUUGUUAGCUAAUUCCCAUAGUCCAGUCAGAUUUUUUUAGCCCCUUUCUUAUUCCAUUUGUCAAUUUCCUUUUGUGAUGCAUAGUUUUGAAAGUAAAUAAAAAUUACUUAUGUUAAAA